rnacentral:rRNA from 1 species
AGCAGCCGCGGUAAUUCCAGCUCCAAUAGCGUAUAUUAAAGUUGUUGCAGUUAAAAAGCUCGUAGUUGAAUUUCGGGGUCAGUAGGUCGGUACGUGCCACUGGUAUGAACUGGUUUUACUGAUUCCUCCCUCUGGAAGAACUGUAAUGCCAUUAAUUUGGUGUUGCAGGGAAUCAGGACUGUUACUUUGAAAAAAUUAGAGUGUUCUAAAGCAGGCUUUAGCUUGAAUACAUUAGCAUGGAAUAAUGAAAUAGGACGUUUGAUCCUAUUUUGUUGGUUUCUAGGAUUGACGUAAUGAUUAAUAGGGAUAGUUGGGGGCAUUAGUAUUCAAUUGUCAGAGGUGAAAUUCUUGGAUUUAUUGAAGACUAACUACUGCGAAAGCAUUUGCCAAGGAUGUUUUCAUUAAUCAAGAACGAAAGUUAGGGGAUCGAAGACGAUCAGAUACUCGUGCGUAGUCUUAACCAUAAACUAUGCCGACUAGGGAUCGGAUGAUGUUAAUUUUUUAAUGACUCA